CGCUAUCACUCCUACGGGGAGGCAGCAGUGGGGAAUAUUGCACAAUGGGGGAAACCCUGAUGCAGCCAUGCCGCGUGUGUGAAGAAGGCCUUCGGGUUGUAAAGCACUUUCAGUAGGGAGGAAGGUAGUGUAGUUAACACCUGCAUUAUUUGACGUUACCUACAGAAGAAGCACCGGCUAACUCCGUGCCAGCAGCCGCGGUAAUACGGAGGGUGCGAGCGUUAAUCGGAAUUACUGGGCGUAAAGCGCAUGCAGGCGGCCUGUUAAGUCAGAUGUAGAAAGGCCCGGGGACGUUAACCUACGGUAAUUGCUAUUUAGUAAACUGGCAGGCUAGAGUCUUGUAGAGGGGGGUAGGAAUUUCAGGUGUAGCGGUGAAAUGCGUAGAGAUCUGAAGGAAUACCAGUGGCGAAGGCGGCCCCCUGGACAAAGACUGACGCUCAGAUGCGAAAGCGUGGGGAGCAAACAGGAUUAGAUACCCUGGUAG
rnacentral:rRNA from 1 species